GAAUUCACUAGUGAUUCAGGCCUAACACAUGCAAGUCAAGCGAACCCUUCGGGGUGAGCGGCGGACGGGUGAGUAACGCGUGGGUAACCUGCCCUGUGCACACGGAUAACAUACCGAAAGGUAUGGUAAUACGAGAUAGAUAUAUUUGAAUCGCAUGGUUAAGAUAUCAAAGCUCCGGCGGUGCAAGAUGGACCCGCGUCUGAUUAGCUAGUUGGUGAGGUAAUGGCUCACCAAGGCGACGAUCAGUAGCCGACCUGAGAGGGUGAUCGGCCACACUGGAACUGAGACACGGUCCAGACUCCUACGGGAG
rnacentral:rRNA from 1 species